AAGCGAGGGGACGGACGGAAUCAGCCUCUCAGGCUCUCAGCAGCAGCUGAGUGCACAUACAUGUCCAGCUCCAAACCCAAUCCAUGGUUCCUUCUGGCACUCGCGAGAGAUAGAGAUAGGGAUAGAGAUGGGUAGACGGUGGCUGUGCAUGGUGGAGAAGCAGGGCACGUGCAUUACCAUCCAAUGCCGCCAUGCCCGGCCGCUCCAUGCUCCUCCCCCUCCUCUGAUGAGCUGAGCUCACCAACCUUUGUGGAUCCAUGGAUGGAUGGAUGGUUCUUCAUGUGCCCAUCUUCUCCACCGAGCACAAACUGUCUCAGCAUGACGAGCCGUCUCACCAAGUGGUAAGCCUCGCCGGAGUGGCGGAGUCUCGUUUGCGGUUCCUCCCAUCGCUCAUCAGCGGCUCUCACUUCGCAUGCUCAUCAGCCCAUCCAUGCCUUGGAUAUUCUUGUAUAUAUGUCCCUUUGCAUCUCUGAUUUCCUCUUUGUUCCUUAAUCUCGGUGACUCCAUAUGGUGUUCCUUUUUCGAGAACAUGCCUGUCAUUUAAUUUUUGUUUACCUUGAGAAUUCAUCAGUGUUCUUUCAGGAGAGGACCCAGCAGUAGAGUUCAACUCGGACCACUCUUUUGGCUGUUUGCUUGAUCUUCAGCUGUUCUUGGAAUUAACUUUCGGGUUGGAUUUGUUUUAAUCCACAGCAAGUCAGCAACUCCGACCAAAAUGUCAUGAUGGCGUCGUUUUCUCAGCGAAAAUGCAGGCGAUCGGGCAAUCACACUAUUAUCCUCUGUGACAGAUUUAUGUAAUAUUGUCGGUCGGAAACUUGGAAUGACAUGAUUUCUCUCACAUUUAGUAAUCCUCGACCCAAGGAUUGCUUGCUUCUGAUGGGCAUGGCGCCGAGCUCUUCCGUUCGUCUGUCUCAGUUAUCAGGAGCCUCAUCUCAUCCCCGAUCGAUAUGGCGUCGGCAUCAACAUGGCAUAUAUCCUAUGCGUUUCUGCCGUACAAACAACAGCAGCUGUGAAAGGAACAAUCACGGUGCUGUUGCUAUCCUUCCCUCCAUGAAUAGUAAAGCAUUACAGGAAAAAAAGAGGAAAAGUGUUCAUCUUGGUAUGGGCGCAUGGUGGCGAAGGCGAUCGCGGUGCAAAGCCGUGGGCAGUUCACAACACUCAUCUGCACUUCGACAGUACAACAUGUCAACAUGAGAUGCCAUGAUGCUUGCACAGUUCAGUCGGGCCAGAUAAUUGCUGGAAAUCUAUUUCUGGAAGCUCUAGAAUUAAUUAGUAUCGCCAUUCGCAAGCGCUUUCGCACUCUCUGAAAUUGAUUACACAAAUCCUGAAGGAAAUUGAUUCCAUGGUUAUGUUUUCAAGCCUUUCAGGAACCUUAAUUAUAUAUGUGUACAUGCGGUAGUCCUUUUCAUAAAGCAUAAAAGGCACUUCUCUCUCUUUGUAAUCAAUUGACUUCAAGAUGUACCGCAUUUUGAAA